rnacentral:rRNA from 1 species
AUUCCAGCUCCAAUAGCGUAUAUUAAAGUUGUUGUGGUUAAAAAGCUCGUAGUUGGAUCUCGGCGGUCUGAGGGCGGUUCGCUUCAGAGCGCUACUGCCCUAUAGACCGUAGUUUUGCCAGAGGUCUCAGGGUGCUCUUAACCGAGUGUCUUGCGAUGCUGGCAGGUUUACUUUGAAAAAAUUAGAGUGCUCAAAGCAGGCUUUUACGCCUGAAUAUUCGUGCAUGGAAUAAUAGAAUAGGAAGUCGUUUCUAUUUUGUUGGUUUUCGGAAAUCGACUUAAUGAUUAAUAGGGACAGUCGGGGGCAUUUGUAUUCAAACGACAGAGGUGAAAUUCUUGGACCGUUUGAAGACAAACUACUGCGAAAGCAUUUGCCAAGAAUGUUUUCAUUA